ensembl:lncRNA
CCCGAGUCCGCUAGUAGCUUAUAGCCCAUUAGCAUCACCAGCGUGGUUGUCGCUAAACCCGCGUGCAUCGCUAAUACUCUAUUCACACACAUUACAAUUGCUUUACUCACUGUUACUUGCUUUAAUGGCGGAUGUUUGUCUACCUUUGAGUGCAGGUGACGACACGUUCGAGCUGCAUUCGGUGAAGCAGAUUCGGGUCCUGGAGCAGAGGCAGUCCCAGCUGAGAGAGCGGAGAGCCGCGCUGGAAACCUCCUGGGCUGACGCUCACAAGUCCAGGGCCCGGUGCACCCAGGACGCGAUCUGCCCAGAUGUCCUUCACGCCGGCGCCGGGACACCACGGACCCUGGGUGCAUCCGCAGCGGAGGACGCGAGCCAGGCCCCGGGCGACGACUUCUCCCCCUCCGGUCUUCGAGAUCUCCACACGGAACCGCUUCUCUCCCCUCCGCGAGACGGAACGCGACGCUGUGAUCGUCGGAGACUCCAUCAUACCCGCGAUCCUGAAGGCCGAG